GUUGCUUCAUAAUGGUGAAUUCCCUCUUAUACCAAGUUGGGGGUGUUCAAGUUUCCCGAAGCAUACAUGGAUAGAUUCUUUGUCUAUGCCAGUAUUAAACAGCAAUGUGCAUUUUUUGCUUUUUGCACUUUGUUACCUGUCUCCUGGUACAUCU